GCCCGCAGGUGGUGGGGUGACAUGCAUGCAGGUUGAGCUGCUGUUGGAAGGAGGCCCCUUGGCUCCUGUUGGCCAGGGACCAUGAACCCAGCGCUGUGACAUUUCUGCACUUGGAAAAUCAUACUCCCUGCAGAGUCCACAUGCCGCAGAGCCCAUCUGGGCAGAGAAGAACAUUCUAACUCCAAGUCAGGAUUUGAUUAUUGAGUGCGAUCUGACCAUUGUUAAUUGCUGAAUUGGGACUGCCUGCAUUUGAAAGUGACUAUAGAAAUCUUUAUUGCCUACGAGUGACCAGAAGAACCAUGUUGAUUAUUUAAGAUUUCAUCCAAGAAGGACCACUUCCACUGAGGAGGGGCUGGAGUGGCAAGAAUGGCCACAGGUUGGUGGGACUUGAGCUGAGCCUCCAGAAGAGGAGAUUUGGAUACACACAGGGGGAAGAUGAUACGGAGACCCAGGGAAAAGAUAGCCACCAACAAGCCCAG
ensembl:lncRNA